rnacentral:lncRNA from 1 species
UUUUUUAAAGAUAUAAAAACCAAGUUCAAUUGUUUUCAAAAAAGAUGCUACUGAGACGCAGCACUGGAGAUUUAUGAUUCUUAAGGAUUUUGAAAAGGGCAUAUUGGCUUCUUUCGCUGGUAGCAUACUCUAUUUUAAAUAGUGUGAUUGACUUUGCAUCUCUUCCUUGCGCGAUUGAGUUUGCAGUUCUGCAAGGCUUCAUGGUGAUAUUCGUGAGUUGAAAUUUCUGCCCGGAUGUUUUCUGUUCUAAGUUUUGAUUAAUUAUCUUGGAAUCCUUUUGUGUUGGUUGAUUCCUGGUUACUCCACCGUCAAAGGCAACUUAAAAUCAGACGGAACGAGCAAUCCUGCAAAGAAAUAGAUUAAAAAAUAGACCGAUGAUCAACUCUCACUCGUACAUAUUGCAGACAAUUGUUUUUGCCAACUCUUAGGUUAUUUAUCGUUCAUGAUUGUGAGGUUUGUAGAUUUUUUUGCUCUGGUUAGUGGUGUUGGAUUUUAUGUGCAAUAAUAAAAAGAUGAAAAAGAAAAACAAGAAUUUACGUGGUUUGGCGGUGUGCCUAUGUCCACUAGAGCGAAGCGGAGAUAAUUUUUAUUCAGUAGUGAAAAAUAGGGUUACAACAUAUUAUUUAUACUAAUCCUAACCUUGGCCCAUAUAAGACUUUAAGGCCCGUACAAGAAAUAACCCCGUUCCAGGACCUAUGUUCCAUUCUUUAUGAGCCACAUGAACAACAGUUAGACCACUCCUUGCCCUGGUUGGUUAGACCACACUUCCUUGCUGUGAUCCUAUGCACAUUACUAUUAUGCAGGUGACUUUGAACUAAUGUUCAUAAUUGCAUGUGGUUGAUUCCUUGUUUAUGAGCUUCAAAUUGAGGUUAUAUUGAUGAAUUUCAGGCUAGAUUUGAAAAGGCUGUUGCGGUUAUCUACAGAUUGAUCAGCUUGGAUUUGGUUCUUUAUUUGUUGUCGACAGCAGUAAGACAAUAACCAUACCGUUACAGUCUGUUUUUCAACUUAUUUGAUUUAUUUGCCUACGAAUUUCCUUGGCACAGUAAGGGUUUGAAUAGUGUUCCUUCUAGAAUCUGUGGUUUCUCUGGCCUUCAUUUUGAUAACUGAUUUCAUCAGUUCCAUUUGAGCACAUGCUUAGAUCCUCUACUCUGUAGUGUUUGCUUUUGGAGCCACAUUUCUCUUCUUUCUCCAGUUCAAAUAUAAUGAUAUGGAGAAGCUAUGAUAUUUUUGGGGCUGUCCACUUCGUUACAUGUGUUUCAUAUGAAAUACAUGUGGUGUUUCAGACUAUUCCACAAUUCCAAGUAUAACCAAGUAGCUCAUAUUUAAGGUAAUGUUGGGACUCCUUUUCAGACAACUGAUAACUAAUCAACUUUCUGUUACCUUGUCAUCUGAUAUAUUAUGGAGUUGAAUAUAGGUUAGCUAUGAACUGUUGGAAGCCACUCUUGAGGGGUAUCCUUGCAGUUGGAGUCCAGCUCUAUGCUGUAUUUUUUCACAGAUGCUGCACACGAAGUGUAGGAGGCUUGAAUCUUAUUUGGGCAUUUGGUAUUUAUUAAUCAGUGGUGCCUGUUGAAUUCAAAAUUUUCUUCCACCUUGUGUGUAGCCUUGAUGGAAUAUUUCAGUGUGUUGUUUUUCUUGUGUUGUACCUGAGUGCGCGUCUUAAGCUUUCCGUAUCGAAGAGGAAAGCUGCAAUCAGCUCUGAAAAUAUUAAGUGUCAGAAAUAUACAGAACAUGCACUAUUAGCUUGCUAAUAACAAUCAACACCUAUGACGAUAUGCUCGGUAUGGAUGGUUUUGACUCGCAAGUUCGAAGGAGCUCUCUCUCACUGUAAUCCACACUUUUCCCCGCACAGUCGAUUAUUGUUUGGCAGACGGACCAAAGGAUAUAUAAAUACAAGUUGACUAGGAGGCAUAUUCAGUACGCAAUAUUUUCCAUUUAACUAUUACUCUAAAAUUUUGCCUCAUACCCUAUUCAGUCUCUUUGAUUACCCU